rnacentral:lncRNA from 1 species
AAAACAAUAAUAAUAAUAAUAAGCCCCGCAGGGCAUCUGAGGCGGAUGACGGGGAGUAGCGACCCCGCGGGGCUAUAUAUCCGAGUGCUCCAGGGAGAGUAUACUGUCCCCCAUCUCCGGCUUGCCGGAGUGAAGCAUGACGGGGGAUAGGUCUCCCGCCUCUUGGCUUGCCUUCACCGGCCGGUCAGAGUGGAGUCGCUAGAGCAAUGCUCGGAGGGUAGGUGCCUCGUGGUAAGUGGCGAGUGGGCCGGUGAUGCUGGACCCACAGGGAGCGCGUGAUCUGCGUUUAAAGUCCGCCGAGGUAUCCUCACCCUUCUCAGCCGCUCAUGUACCUGUUGCCCUCUUGUUGCGAUUUAGCGACUGAUUCCCGGGGGCCCAGUAAGUGAGUUGGCGAGUCUCCACCUGCCAUUUUUACGUGUAUUUAUUACAUUGUUAUCGGCAGGUGCCAUAGUUCCCGUAGUUUCCCCAUUCCUAGUCCAUUAGCAUCCCAUCACAAUAGCCCAAGUAGUUUUCAUCCAUAGUUAGCAAUAGUUUAGCACAGAACCGGGGAUUGUCCUUGGGUACAUUUCUAUAGUGUAUACAGGGAUAAUCGUCGGUUUUGUGUCACCAUUUCAUUAAAGUUGUCUCAAAAGGGCUUCAGCGUGUUGGCUUCGGCCCCACGUUCGCCUCCCAAAAAUCCGGGACUCUAUAGUCCCGAGGUCUGGAAGAGACAUACAGUUAUAAUAAUAAUAAUAAUUU